UUCCAUCUGGAAGGAAAUCUGGAGGACAGGUGCUGCAUGGCUGUCGUCAGCUCGUGUCGUGAGAUGUUGGGUUAAGUCCCGCAACGAGCGCAACCCUUGCCUUUAGUUGCCAGCAGUUCGGCUGGGCACUCUAAAGGGACUGCCGGUGUUAAACCGGAGGAAGGUGGGGAUGACGUCAAGUCCUCAUGGCCUUUAUGACCAGGGCUACACACGUACUACAAUGGCCGAUACAAAGGGCAGCGACACUGCGAGGUGAAGCCAAUCCCGUAAAAUCGGUCUCAGUCCGGAUUGGAGUCUGCAACUCGACUCCAUGAAGUUGGAAUCGCUAGUAAUCGCGCAUCAGCCAUGGCGCGGUGAAUACGUUCCCGGGCCUU
rnacentral:rRNA from 1 species